AAGUCGUAACAAGGUUUCCGUAGGUGAACCUGCGGAAGGAUCACUAGUGAUUAAAUCGAGAGCGUCUUCAUUGACCUCUCACCCUUCACAUCCACAUACACCUGUGCACCGUUUGGCUCUUUUAAAAGACGUAAGUCUGCAAAGAGAGUCAUCAAUUUUAUACAUACCCCAGUCUUAUGAAUGUAACAGUUUUAAUAAACAAAAUAAAACUUUUAACAACGGAUCUCUUGGUUCUG
rnacentral:misc_RNA from 1 species